AGUGAACGCUGGCGGCGUGCUUAACACAUGCAAGACGAACGAGAACGGAAUAUAGCUUGCUAUAUUUGUCAGCUAAGUGGCGCACGGGUGAGUAAUGUAUAGAUAACCUGCCCUUAAGAAAGGAAUAACAGUUGGAAACGACUGCUAAUGCCCUAUAUGCCUUUAAUACAUAAGUAUGCAAGGGAAACGCUUUAGUGCUUAAGGAUGGGUCUGUAUGGUAUCAGCUUGUUGGUGAGGUAAUGGCUCACCAAGGCUAUGACGCCUAACUGGUUUGAGGGGAUGGUCAGUCACACGGGAACUGAGACACGGUCCAGACUCCUACGGGAGGCAGCAGUGGGGAAUAUUGCACAAUGGACGAAAGUCUGAUGCAGCAACGCCGCGUGGAGGAUGACACAUUUCGGUGCGUAAACUCCUUUUAUAUAGGAAGAUAAUGACGGUACUAUAUGAAUAAGCACCGGCUAACUCCGUGCCAGCAGCCGCCGUAA
rnacentral:rRNA from 1 species